rnacentral:lncRNA from 1 species
AUGUCUAAUAAAUCAAGAAUGGAGCAGAGAAAUUGAAGGGUGUGCAGAUGGUGGUCGGAAGCUUGGUAUUGGGAUUGACUAUCUUCAGCUGGCUCUAAACACUAUAUUGUUUUUUUUCUUUUUUAUUUUCUGAUUUUAUUCGUUUGAUUGUAGUUUCUCUUGUGUUCAUUUUUAUUUAUUAUAUAUUGUUUUAAUCCAUUUAUAUGAGUCGCGGCUCGAUCUGUAUCUUGGGUAUGGCCCCCCUGCCCUUUUAUAUUCUUUAAUUGUUUUACAUUAUUCUGGAUUCAUUGUACCUACUUUUUUAUAUUUGUACCUUCUAAUACUUGCGGUGAUCAAUGCUUG